CGGGGAAUUUUGCGCAAUGGGGGAGACCCUGACGCAGCAACGCCGCGUGAGUGAUGAAGGCCUUCGGGUCGUAAAGCUCUGUCAGAGGGGAAGAAAUGCAGGGGUGCUAAUAUCAUCUUUGCUUGACGGUACCCUCAAAGGAAGCACCGGCUAACUCCGUGCCAGCAGCCGCGGUAAUACGGAGGGUGCGAGCGUUGUUCGGAAUUAUUGGGCGUAAAGCGCGUGUAGGCGGUUUGGUAAGUCUGAUGUGAAAGCCCCGGGCUCAACCUGGGAAGUGCAUUGGAAACUGUCAGACUUGAAUACGGGAGAGGGUAGUGGAAUUCCUAGUGUAGGAGUGAAAACCGUAGAUAUUAGGAGGAACACCGGUGGCGAAGGCGGCUACCUGGACCGAUAUUGACGCUGAGACGCGAAAGCGUGGGGAGCAAACAG
rnacentral:rRNA from 1 species